GCAGGCAGAAGAGGGAGACUCACAAGAGCAUCGAUGGACAUUUAUCUUAAAAAUGCUGGAGAACAGCAGGACUCUAUCAGUGCUGUCUUUAGCUUGGAUUGGAGCAGAAGAAGGAGACUCACAAUGGAAAUGGUGGAGAUAUACUGAAAGACCUGGAGCUCAGGAAGCAGAUUGGAAUGGAGCACAUGGAGAAAAAGAGGAAUCACACACCUCAAAAAUGACUGGAAAUUGAUGGUCAGGAACUUCAGAAAG